CAUUAAUUAAGCAAUACGUUUCUCUUAAUUAUGUAACUGAUUCAAGCAGCUACAGACUGUACAUUUCCUCGUUACCAAUUACCAAGGAAAUGUACGGAUGCCGAUCAGAUGUUGUAACUGCUUGAAGCAGUUACACACAGUAGGCGAUUUCUGUCAUAUAUAAAUUAUCCAAUGACCCUGAUUUAUUUAAUCAGCGUAAUCAAUUUUAUACAGAAUCUAACCUCAGCAGUU
rnacentral:lncRNA from 1 species